GACGAACGCUGGCGGCGUGCUUAACACAUGCAAGUCGAACGGAAAGGCCCUGCUUUUGUGGGGUGCUCGAGUGGCGAACGGGUGAGUAACACGUGAGUAACCUGCCCUUGACUUUGGGAUAACUUCAGGAAACUGGGGCUAAUACCGGAUAGGAGCUCCUGCUGCAUGGUGGGGGUUGGAAAGUUUCGGCGGUAGGGGAUGGACGCGCGGCUUAUCAGCUUGUUGGUGGGGGAGUGGCUUACCCACGCUUUGACGGGUAGCCGGCCUGAGAGGGUGGACGGCCACAUUGGGACUGCGAUACGGCGCAGACUCCUACGGGAGGCAACAGUGGGGAAUAUUGCACAAUGGGCGGAAGCCUGAUGCAGCAGCGCCGCGUGCGGAAUGACGGCCUUCGGGGUGUAAACCGCAUUCGCCUGUGACGAAGCGUGAGUGACGGUAAUGGGUAAAGAAGCACCGGCUAACUACGUG
rnacentral:rRNA from 1 species